UACGAAGGGAGCUAGCGUUGUUCGGAAUCACUGGGCGUAAAGCGCACGUAGGCGGAUGUGUCAGUCAGGGGUGAAAUCCCGGAGCUCAACUUCGGAACUGCCUUUGAUACAGCACGUCUUGAGUCCGAUAGAGGUGGGUGGAAUUCCUAGUGUAGAGGUGAAAUUCGUAGAUAUUCGGAAGAACACCAGUGGCGAAGGCGGCUCACUGGCCCGGUACUGACGCUGAUGUGCGAAAGCGUGGGGAGCAAACAGG
rnacentral:rRNA from 1 species